CCGCAAUGAAUUGUUUCUCUUUGCAUGGGGUGCUGGUUUUUUGCCUUUUAUACGGGAUAUUAAUGAUGCAAAAUGGAUUUAGUUAGUACAUGAACUUUAUUUUAUGCUAACGUUUUCAAUAUAUAAAUACAUCAAAAACGUUAGCAUAAAAUAAAGAAAAUCAGUAUAUGAACCAGUGGUCAUUCCAAGGUGGUCACCAGACUCAUGUUCGUACAAGCUUGCCACUUUUGUUAUUAUUUCUGUAGAGCUAACCUUUACAUAGAUGAACAGCAAGAACUUGAUAAAGAAGUAAAUUAUAUUCUUAAGAUAGGCAAUAUGCUUGGGUACUCCAGGACUGUCUUAAAAAACUUAUUUGUGGAAGAGAAACAAUCACUAGAGAAUAAAAAGAUCCAGAGCGAAGAGGCUUUAGAAUAUGAAGUGGUACCAUAUGCAUUAAAGAGCUCCAAGGUACAGUCUAUUGCAAAAAGUUUUGUGCAUAGCGGUCAGGGGCAGGAAGCAGCGGAU
rnacentral:lncRNA from 1 species